GCUUGCUUCCGCCGACGACCGGCGCACGGGUGCGUAACGCGUAUACAAUCUACCUUAUACUGGGGUAUAGCCUUUAGAAAUGAAGAUUAACCCCCCAUAAUCUCUUAGAGUGGCAUCACUUCUAGAGUAAAGGUUACGGUAUAAGAUGAGUAUGCGUUCUAUUAGUUUGUUGGUGUGGUAACGGCACACCAAGACUACGAUAGAUAGGGGCCCUGAGAGGGGGAUCCCCCACACUGGUACUGAGACACGGACCAGACUCCUACGGGAGGCAGCAGUGAGGAAUAUUGGACAAUGGAGGCAACUCUGAUCCAGCCAUGCCGCGUGCAGGAAGACUGCCCUAUGGGUUGUAAACUGCUUUUAUACAGGAAGAAACACCUCUACGUGUAGAGGCUUGACGGUACUGUAAGAAUAAGGAUCGGCUAACUCCGUGCCAGCAGCCGCGGUAAUACGGAGGAUCCAAGCGUUAUCCGGAAUCAUUGGGUUUAAAGGGUCCGUAGGUGGAUAAUUAAGUCAGAGGUGA
rnacentral:rRNA from 1 species